GAUGAACGCUGGCGGCGUGCCUAAUACAUGCAAGUCGAGCGAAUGGAUUGAGAGCUUGCUCUUAUGAAGUUAGCGGCGGACGGGUGAGUAACACGUGGGUAACCUGCCCAUAAGACUGGGAUAACUCCGGGAAACCGGGGCUAAUACCGGAUAACAUUUUGAACCGCAUGGUUCGAAAUUGAAAGGCGGCUUCGGCUGUCACUUAUGGAUGGACCCGCGUCGCAUUAGCUAGUUGGUGAGGUAACGGCUCACCAAGGCAACGAUGCGUAGCCGACGUGGGAGGGUGAUCGGCCACACUGGGACUGAGACACGGCCCAGACUCCUACAGGAGGCAGCAGUAGGGAAUCUUCCGCAAUGGACGAAAGUCUGACGGAGCAACGCCGCGUGAGUGAUGAAGGCUUUCGGGUCGUAAAACUCUGUUGUUAGGGAAGAACAAGUGCUAGUUGAAUAAGCUGGCACCUUGACGGUACCUAACCAGAAAGCCACGGCUAACUACGUGCCAGCCGCCGCCGUAA
rnacentral:rRNA from 1 species